GAUGGCUCAUCAGAAAAGGGCACUUGCAGCUGAGUUCUAGUCCUGGAACCCACACGGUUGAAGGAGAAAACCAGCGUGCACAUGGACGUCUGACCUCCAUGCAUGUACACACGAUGAAUUCUUUUUUGUGUAAACGUGGCCGCCAGAAAACUUGCAGAAGUAUGGUAUAGAACAGCCAUACCAUUCACCUUAGAUCUUCCUUCGAAUCAGUGGCCCUCCUGGCUCAGUCUUCCCCUUGCUGGCUGGGAUAGCAGGUAUGAGCCCUAAUAGCUCACUAAAGGGACUCAUUUUAAAAUGGCUCCUCCUUUUCUAGUUGAGUUUCACUUCAUUUUUGAAAAAGAAAAAUUUUAAAGAAAAGUGCUGCCCGUGGGCUGCACUGGCAUUAGGGGCUAUGAAACGGGAAAUGACACGAGUGGAAAAACCCUGCUGUGACCCCUCCCUCUUGAGAAGGAGUGAAGACUUUGGAGUUUGAACCAGCUCCGGGCCCUCACUUAGGAUCAGAAGUGUCCAGCUCGGCUCCAUUCAUCAAGUGGCCCUCGGUGGCUUUGCUGAGAUUACUGAAUGUAUUUAUAACUUCAAACGCCUUGUCUGCCUCAGGAGAGGCCUCCUCCACAGAGGGGUCAGACCUACAUUUCUGGGUUCUUACUGAGACAAAUCUACCCAAGAAACGAGUCCCCACGGGGACAGACUUACCUUGUAUCGUCAGCCACAGGCUGAUGUGGCACCUUUUAGAGCUCUCUGGCAGCACGCUUUCCUUCUCAGCAAGGUCAGACUGUCCCUGCUGGCAAACUCCUCUGUGUUUUGACUUAUAAAGCCAGAUCCAGGAAGCAUCUAUAACCCAUGAACACCUUAAAGGCAAACGGGAGGCCAGCAGAUGCUAAGGAAUCAUGGUGGCCACCGCCAGCAUCUCUUUCAGAAUGCUUUGGGCAGGAAGUCCUGCCUCUUCCGAGUAAGGAUCCAGAAGGCCUGGUGACCCAGUGUGACACAAAAGAGGAUAGAAAGUGCCAGAUGCCCCAUUCUCCUUGCGAGAGUGGCGCUGUAAACCGUCGGAAAGGAUGCACAGCCAAGGCAUGUGCUUAAUAACCACUGCGCUUCCUUUCCAGGCCAGCUUUUUUAAAGGCUGCAGAAAACUUCACCCUCUUGGUAAAGAACAACAUCUGGUACCCCAAGUUUAAUUUCAGCAAGAGGAACAUCCUCCCCAAUAUCACCACCUCCUACCUCAAGUCGUGCAUUUAUGAUGCUCAGACAGAUCCCUUCU